rnacentral:rRNA from 1 species
AUGGAGAAGAACUCCCACCUCAAGGAUUUGCAAGCGCUUGGCCCCUUGGACAUCAUCCGUGCCGAUCUGAGUGAAGAAGGCAGCUUUGACGAGGCAGUUUCUGGCUGCGGCUACGCCUUCUUGGUUGCUGCCCCGAUGGACUUCGGGCCGGCAGAUCCUGAGGCUAUGAUCGACGCUGCCGUGCAAGGAACACUCAACGUGAUGAGGUCGUGCGUGAGAGCGAAGACGGUGAAGCGUGUGAUCCUAACGUCAUCACACGGCGCUGUCUGUAGGAGGCUGUUGCAGGGCGACGACCACGUGCUGGACGAGAGCUCUUGGUCCGACGUCGAGUACCUCAGAGCCAACAAGCCAAUAACUUGGGCAUAUGCGGUAUCGAAGGUGCUUCUAGCGAAGGCGGCGAGCGAAUUCGCGGAGGAGAACGGCAUCAGCCUUGUCACCGUGUUGCCCGUGUUCGUCUUGGGUACAGCACCGGUCUCCAAGCCCGCAUCCAGCAUCGUCCCUAUCACCCUCUCCCUAUUGACCGGUGACGAGGCACUGAUGGGCAUCAUGAUAGGGUUGCACUCGACCACAGACGGUAUGCCAAUAAGCCACAUCAACGACCUCUGUCAUGCUGAGGUGUUCGUCGCUGAGAAUGAGUCCUCCUCAGGAAGAUACCUCUGCUGCAGUCACAACACCACCAUCUUGCAACUCGCUCGUCUCAUGGCCGAGAAGUACCCACAAUACAACAUAAAAGUCAAACGCUUCGAGGGGUUCCCAGAGAGGCCGAGAGUGUGUGUGUCGUCUGAGAAGCUCAUCGGAGAAGGGUUUGUGUUCAAGUACGAUGAUAUCCCCCGCAAAAAAAAAGUACGAUGA